rnacentral:rRNA from 1 species
GUCCUUUAGAGUUUAUUAUUUAAGGUCUAGCCUGCCCACUGAAUUGUUUUAAAUGGCCGCAGUAAAUUGACUGUGCAAAGGUAGCAUAAUCAUUAGUUUUUUAAUUAAAAGCUUGUAUGAAUGGUUUGACGAAAUAAAAUCUGUCUCUAAAUAAUAAAAAGAAUUUAAUUUUUAAGUUAAAAAGCUUAAAUUUAAUUAAAAGACGAGAAGACCCUAUAGAUCUUUAUAUUAAAAUUAAUAGUUUUAUUUAAGAUUUUUUACAAAAUUAUUAUUUUUAUUAUUAUAUUGGGGUAAUAGGAAGAUUAAAAAAAUUCUUUUUAAUUUUAAUCAAUAAUAAUUGUUUAAUUGAUCCUUAAUUUAAGAUAAUAAGAUUAAGUUACCUUAGGGAUAACAGCGUAAUUUUUUUAGAGAGUUCUUAUCGAUAAAAAAGUUUGCGACCUCGAUGUUGGAUUAAAAAUUAUUCCAGGUGUAGAAGUUUGGAAAUUUUGGUCUGUUCGACCAUUAAAUUUUUACAUGAUCUGAGUUCAGACCGGCGUAAGCCAGGUCGGUUUCUAUCUUUAUUUAAUUAUUAUAUUUUAGUACGAAAGGACCAGAUAUAUAAUAUAAAAAUAUUUAAAUUUUGAAUAG